rnacentral:lncRNA from 1 species
UAGUCUGUAGCUCAUCACUGUAUUGCAUCACCAUCUGAUUUUGGAUGUCAGUCAGUUCGCUUCUGCUAUCCUCAAUUCUUUGUGUAAUGUUCUUAAAUUCUCUAACAUUUAGAGAUUUAUGACCAGGUUUGAGUGUCUUGAGGUUGAUCCAGACCUCCUUGAGAGUAUCUUGUGCAGUGCUUUUCCAGUGUUCCUUGACAAUGCACUGAAAGUCUUUAUGAUUAGUCCAUGCAUUGCAAAAUCUGAAGGGGUUUUUCCUGAGCCUGUGAUCU